GCAGGCACACGCACCGCAUCGCAGAGAAGACACUGAAAUUAAACUACAUCUCCCAGCAGCACUUGCUGCCGGGAGCUGUACUUUACUUUCAGUUUCAUCUCUGCAGCGUGCAGAGCCGCAUUAAGAGGGGGCACAGGGGAGAAAUUACUCCCCCCUCCCCCUAACCCCACUGUUAGUGCCUUUAAUCAUUGCAGCCACUGCUGCAGUGAACAUGAAAUUCCGAAAAGGGGGCGGGGCUAAACGGCACUGUACACACAGUGCCAUGCCAGCCAGCAACAUGGGAAAGAGGAGAGGAAGAGCAGCACAGCCUAAACAAUUUGGCCGCAAAACGUUCUACGUUUCAUCAUUGGUGUUUGGUCUUAAAGGUUUCCAGUUCCACCCCAGCCGGAGCACACAGCUGAAUUACUGCAACUGUCCCAGAUUGCUUUGUGCCCCUAUGACGUUCUAAACCCAUUUUGUACAGGACUGUUCUAUUAACCCAACCGGGACGGCUCCAGUACCAGCUCCCUGUGGAUAAACUUGUAAUCAUACCACGGCGGAUCGCAGCCCCUGGUCCUGGAUGAUUGAUGAACUGACUGCACCAACAAACCCAGCCUGGCAGAUGUGAGUCAGAAAAUAAACUCACAGAAAACUUUCCCUGGCAGAAUUCCCGUUCAUUUCUUCUCGUUUUACAGAUAUGUCAUUGAAAAUGGAAACUGCAAAGAGAAAAUGUGAUUUUUUUUUUUCGUUUUAUUAAUUUCACUGUUCACCUGUAACAUUACUGCAACCAGUUAACCCUUUACAUGCUGCAAAGACAAAAUAAUGACUGAUGUUAUCUGAGGGUCCUAUGCUACAUACUGUAUCUCAUACACAAUCUUGCUGCCCUGAGGUUGUGUUGCUUGUUGGAGUCACAGAAACCUCCUGCCUCCUGUCCCCAAUGUGGUUGCUGCCUUCUACCACCAUUACCUGGCCAUAAGCCAGUAGCGGAUCUUGCCACGGGCAAGCAGGACUUUUGCGCGGGGCGCCGCCUUCUGGAGGGCGCCGGCGCCAUCCGGAGGGCGCCGCACCAUGGCAAGAUCCGCUACUGCUGUGCCCCCCGCUGCCCGCUGUGUCCCACUGCCGCUGCCCGCGGUGUCCCGCUGUGAAGGGAACUAGACGCAUAGCGUCUAAUUUUCCUUCGUGGAGAGGACCUUUACUGUGCAGUGCACGGUCACGUCAUCGCGCACCGCACAGCAAAGGUCCUCUCCACGAAGGGAACUAGACGCUAUGCGUCUAGUUUCCCUUCGUGGAGAUGACCUUUGCUGUGCGGUGCGCAAUUACGUCAUCGCGCACCGCACAGCAUUUCAGCGGCGCUACUCUACUGUACAGGGGGCAUAACUGACCACGCCCCCUGUAUGAAGCCACACCCCUAUUUCCAGCCCGGGGCGCAAAAAGGGCUAGAACCGGCCCUGCCUUAAGCGUAAUCUGAAGAUGACGGUUCACAUGGCAUCCCUCUUCUGAAAUGAUUUACAAGUGUGCCCGGCAGACACGGCAAUAAACAAGCAAUUUGCACCAUGUAUAAUCACCAUCUACUUUGCCAAAGGUCAAUUUGCAUGUGUGUUGCAAACCUGAGGACUCUGCGACCCUGAGCUUUUGUUUGCUCCGUAAUGUGGUGAGCACAUUUUCCUGGCAUGGUUUGGGUGCAGUCCUUCCCCCAGAAUAUGUUUGUAUUAUAAACGGACGGUGUAAUGGUUAGCAUGACGGCCUCGCAGCACUGAGGUCGUGGGUUCGAAUUCCACCAUGGCCCUAACUGUGUGGAGUUUGUAUAUUCUCCCUGGGCUCACGUGGGUUUCCUCUGGGUACUCCUCCCACAACCCAAAAUUAUACUGGUAGUCUAAUUGGCUCCCAACAAAAUUAACCCUAGUGUGCAAUGCAUGUGGUAGGGACUAUAUAUUGCAAGCUCCACUGGAGCAGGGAUGUGAAUCGACAAUUAUUCUCUGUAAAGCGCUGUGGAAUAUGUGUGCGCUAUAUAAAUAACUGAUAAUAAUAAUAAAGGAGUUGCAACAAUAAAUAA